UUCUAUGUACCUCGAUAUAGGCUCGAUAUAGUGGGCUGGCAUGGGCCAUAACUAGCAUUCACGUCUAGCAGUACGGCACACGCCACCAACACGAGUCCCAUCUGACACCAAUUUUCUUGGAGUCCGUGCUACAACCAUCUUUUCUCCCUCCUGUUUUCUUAGCCAUCGCGCGGUGGGCGGGGUGGGGGUUUGCCGAUAGUCGGUUUGCUCAACUGCGGUCCCACUUGUAAGUGAAAAUGCAACACCGCAUGCAUUCUCGCUUGAGCGGCGUGUCGGACCAACCGUGUGGGGGUGCGACGCAAACACGGCAGGCUUUUCCUUUUGAACUCGUAACUUGUAAAUUUUGGUUCUGCUCCAUGGCGCGAUCGAUAGAUAGAAAAUAACGGUUUUGCCUAGAGUAAUGAGAAGUUUGGUUCUAGCGCCGUUCAUGCAUGGAGUACGUACGAAAAAUAUGAAGUUGAUGCAAAAGGUAAGAUAAUUACUGUAGUAUCAUAUACUACUACAUGGAUUUGACGGAAAGAUAAAAAUACAUACGGAUCCAUCAACGACAUCCUCAUGCCCUAGUGCACCGGGUCACCAACCGACGUGUGAGGAGCAGCGGCAUUGGCGGCAAGCUCAACGUGCUUCUGAACAGUGCCGUCCAAGGUUGCCCUGCGGUCCAAGAAGGCCAGCGUCCUAUCGUCCUCCUCUUGCAUGUAGUAGUCCUUGUGGACGAUUUGCGUGUAGACGUGGGUGAUUAUGUCGAUGGUGUCUUGCUGCGCCAGGCGCUGUGCAGCGAGCGCGACCUCGAGGUGGACACUCUCCGGUGCGACAGCGGGCAGUCGCAGGGCUACCAGUGCGUCGAAGAGGUUGUCACCAUAGUGGCCGUUGAGGGUGGCGGGCAUCGCAGAGCCUGGGCGCAUCGGCUGGAGGCUUACGUCAAAGUCGUCUGCGAGCUUCUUGACGACGGUGAACUUGUUGAGGAAACCAAUGAGGACCUCAUCGAACAAGGAGACAAAGUUGUCGUCCAAGCGGCCCCUCGCCCUGGCGGCCUCAAGCAAUACUACCUAGAGACGUUCCUUGUUGCCGGGCCGCAGGCCGGCGUCGUGGACCAUCUGGCACAGCCGGCUGAUGCUCGCGCUCAUCGCCUCCAUGGGUCGACUGAUCUUGCGAUUCGAGUGAUCACUCUUGCCCUUGGUUAGCGUGCGUAGGUGCGUAGGAUUUCGUACUACUCCUAGGCCCUCUACUGCACCUGCCUUUGGUUGUAUGAUAGGUGGGCCAGCCACCCCCUGGGCCCACGUGUCAUUCACCCAAAGGCAGUUGCCAUAAGUCAAUGAAGCUGCGUCCCCCUCCGUGCUGGUGCAGUAUAGUCAUCUCACCGGACCUCUAGUUGGGGCCAAACGAGAGAAGUUUGAUGUUUACUGGUUUAUUGGUCCCCUUUGCAUUUUGCGCCAAGUUUUGAACUUUGAUUUAACUAAUAAAAUGUUAAUGCAUGUAAAAAAAAUGUUGUGUAAGUCACAUUACGAAAACCAAAUAAUCCCAAAACACUUAGGCAUGGUGCAUUAACUCCCUCCUUGUUUCUUAUUUUGUGACAUAUCAACCAAUGAGAGAUGUGGGCCGUGCAUGCUUUCAAUGACUUGAGACUACCAAACAUGACAUGCAGUGUUUAGUUCAUUGCAUGUAAUCCUAUUAGUAGUUAGCAAAAAAACAUUAAGUUCUCUCGCCGAUAGGAAUAAAACACCAUGUAUUUAUUUACAAAGGGAGUAGUACAUUUUUUGUGACAUGCAUUACUACUAGAUAUUGCUAGUUAAGUACUAAAAUCCAGAUGGACGUGGUAGUACUCUUAAAUCUAGACGGUGGUGCUGUUGGGGAACGUUGCAUAAAAUAAAAAAAUUCCUACGUUCACCAAGAUCAAUCUAUGAGUUCAUCUAGCAACGAGAGAGAGGAGUGCAUCUACAUACCCUUGUAGAUCGCGUGUGGAAGCGUUCAAGAGAACGGGGUUGAGGGAGUCGUUCUCGUCGUGAUCCAAAUCACCGGAGAUCCUAGCGCCGAACGGACGGCACCUCCGCGUUCAACACAUGUACGGUUAGCGUGACGUCUCCUCCUUCUUGAUCCAGCAAGGGGGAAGGAGAGGUUGAUGAAGAUCCAGCAGCACGACGGCGUGGUGGUGGAUGCAGCAGGGCUCCGGCAGGGCUUCGCCAAGCGACUACGGGAGGAGGAGGUGUAGCAAAGGGGGUAGGGAGGCGCCAGAUGUCAGGGUGCGGCUGCCCUCCCACCCUCCCUCUUUAUAUAAGGACCCCAGGGGGGCGCCGGCCCUGGAGAUGGGAUCUCCCAAGGGGGCGGCGGCCAGGGGGUGGAGUGCCCCCCAAGGCAAGUGGAGGCGCCCCCUCCCCUAGGGUUCCCAACCCUAGGCGCAGAGGGGGGCCCAGGGGGGCGCACCAGCCCACCAUGGGCUGGUUCCCCUCCCACUUCAGCCCAUGGGGCCCUCCGGGAUGGGUGGCCCCACCUGGUGGACCCCCGGGACCCUUCCGGUGGUCCCGGUACAAUACCGGUGAACCCCGAAACUUUCCUGAUGGCCGAAACUCGACUUCCCAUAUAUAAUUCUUUACCUCCGGACCAUUCCGGAACUCCUCAUGACGUCCGGGAUCUCAUCCGAGUCUCCGAACAACUUUCGGUUUGCUGCAUACUAAUAUCUUUACAACCCUAGCGUCACUGAACCUUAAGUGUGUAGACCCUACGGGUUCGGGAGACAUAUAGACAUGACCGAGAUGGCUCCCCGGUCAAUAACCAACAGCGGGAUCUGGAUACCCAUGUUGGCUCCCACAUGCUCCUCGAUGAUCUCAUCGGAUGAACCACGAUGUCGAGGAUUUAAGCAAUCCCGUAUACAAUUCCCUUUGUCAAUUGGUAUGUUACUUGCCCGAGAUUCGAUCAUCGGUAUCCCAAUACCUCGUUCAAUCUUGUUACCGGCAAGUCACUUUACUCAUACUGUAAUGCAUGAUCCCGUGACCAGACACUUGGUCACUUUGAGCUCAUUAUGAUGAUGCAUUACCGAGUGGGCCCAGAGAUACCUCUCCGUCAUACGGAGUGACAAAUCCCAGUCUCGAUCCGUGUCAACCCAACAGACACUUUCGGAGAUACCUGUAGUGCACCUUUAUAGUCACCCGGUUAAGUUGUGAUGUUUGGUACACCCAAAGCACUCCUACGGUAUUCGGGAGUUACAUGAUCUCAUGGUCUAAGGAAAAGAUACUUGACAUUGGAAAAGCUCUAGCAAAUGAACUGCACGAUCUUUGUGCUAUGCUUAGGAUUGGGUCUUGUCCAUCACAUCAUUCUAAUGAUGUGAUCCCAUUAUCAAUGACAUCCAAUGUCCAUAGUCAGGAAACCAUGACUAUCUGUUGAUCAACGAGCUAGUCAACUAGAGGCUCACUAGGGACAUAUUGUGGUCUAAGUAUUCACACGUGUAUUACGAUUUCCAGAUAAUACAAUUAUAGAAUGAAUAAAAGACAAUUAACAUGAACAAGGAAAUAUAAUAAUAAUCCUUUUAUUAUUGCCUCUAGGGCAUAUUUCCAACAGGUGCUACUAGUACUAGCACUGUACUACUCGUUGGUCAAAUUAUUACGUGCUGCUCCUCACAGUGAAGUGACAAGACCCUGCGCCGGAGAUGACACCUGAGUAUAGGCGCCAUGUUCGGCAUACCAUAGUCAGCCUAAGCGUCUGCAGUCACUAUCAUCAUGGCUGUAGAGCUAGCCUGCUUACAACUAGCCCUGUUCGACAUAAUUUCCCGUGCGUAGAUGCCCGUGCAUUGCACGGAACACCAAGAUUGGGGGUGGACGGCUCCGGCAGCGGCCAUCGCGCCAGAUUUUUCCACCACCUUCUAAAUGUGGUGGGGAGGAGAUAAGGCUGAUUGUGAGAGACAAGGAGUUGUUUGUAAAUAGGGAACAAGUACGGGCAUAUUUUUGCAAAAAAGGAGAAGCUUGGUUUGUAUGCGUCAGAUCUAGAUCUGACGGCUAUUGGUGAAAGAUGGGAGGCACAACAUCACCACCAACUCAGGACCUAUUUGAUUCGCAGGAUUUUGAAAGCACAGGAAUAGGACAUGGGAAUAUUACAAGUUUCAAACUGAUAUUACAAAUGUUAGGAUUAAUGAUGCACCUAGGAAGAGGGAAUUACUAGGAAGUUUACGUAAGAACUUUCGUUACUUUAGGUGGAUGCAGCAUUAUCAUACAAACUAAAAUCCACCGCUAAUGGGCAAAUAAGUUUUCGAGUCUCUGGCCACUUGAUGUUUCAAAAACAAAUUCAGCUUCUGCGGAGACUUUGUCAUUUAGGCUUAGACGCUUGCGGUGAUCAGCACGCCGUUCAUUGUUGUGCCAGAGAACGCCAAACCUCAUUACCUUGAGCACACUUGCCUCCAAAACAAAGAACCUGGCCAAUUUAAUCUCAGAUGUGCUGCCUCGGUAGUCGAUCAAAUCAAUUUCUGUAAGAUGGAGAUCAAGGCAUUCGAUGAGAUUGUUAUAGUGCAGCACAUUUUUCACUUUCGGGUCUUUUUUUAUCUGCAAAAGAAGAGAACAUAUUAGAGCAGCUGGCUGAAUAAGAUGUUGGAAAUAUGCCCUAGAGGCAAUAAUAAAUUGGUUAUUAUUAUAUUUCCUUGUUCAUGAUAAUCGUUUAUUAUCCAUGCUAUAAUUGUAUUGAAAGGAAACUCAGAUACAUGUGUGGAUACAUAGACAACACCAUGUCCCUAGUAAGCCUCUAGUUGACUAGCUCAUUGAUCAAUAGAUGGUUACGGUUUCCUGACCAUGGACAUUGGAUGUCGUUGAUAACGGGAUCACAUCAUUAGGAGAAUGAUGUGAUGGACAAGACCCAAUCCUAAGCCUAGCACAAAAGAUCGCAGUUCGUAUGCUAAAGCUUUUCUAAUGUCAAGUAUCAUUUCCUUAGACCAUGAUAUUGUGCAACUCCCGGAUACCGUAGGAAUGCUUUGGGUGUACCAAACGUCACAACGUAACUGGGUGGCUAUAAAGGUGCACUACAGGUAUCUCCGAAAGUGUCUGUUGGGUUGGCACGAAUCGAGACUAGGAUUUGUCACUCCGGUUGACGGAGAGGUAUCUCUGGGCCCACUCGGUAGGACAUCAUCAUAAUGUGCACAAUGUGAUCAAAGAGUUGAUCAUGGGAUGAUGUGUUACGGAACGAGUAAAGAGACUUGCCGGUAACGAGAUUGAACAAGGUAUCGGUAUACCGACGAUCGAAUCUCGGGCAAGUACAAUACCGUUAGACAAAGGGAAUUGUAUACGGGAUCGAAUGAGUCCUUGACAUCGUGGUUCAUCCGAUGAGAUCAUCGUGGAACAUGUGGGAGCCAACAUGGGUAUCCAGAUCCCGCUGUUGGUUAUUGACCGGAGAACGUCUCGGUCAUGUCUACAUGUCUCCCGAACCCGUAGGGUCUACACACUUAAGGUUCGAUGACGCUAGGGUUAUAAAGGAAGUUUGUAUGUGGUUACCGAAUGUUGUUCGGAGUCCCGAAUGAGAUCCCGGACGUCACGAGGAGUUCUGGAAUGGUCCGGAGGUGAAGAUUUAUAUAUGGGAAGUCCUGUUUUGGUCACCGGAAAAGUUUCGGGUUUUAUAGGUAACGUACCGAGACCACCGGGAAACCUAGGUGGGGGCGCAGCCCCCUCUCCCCCUAUAUAUAGUGGAGGCAUUGGAGCAGCCCAAGACAUGAGUUUCUUCCCUCUAUUGGCGCAGCCCUACCUCUCUUACUCCUCCUCUCCCGCGGUGCUUGGCGAAGCCCUGCAGGAUUGCCACGCUCCUCCAUCACCACCACGCCGUUGUGCUGCUACUGGAUGGAGUCUUCCUCAACCUCUCCCUCUCACCUUGCUGGAUCAAGGCAUGGGAGACGUCACCGGGCUGUACGUGUGUUGAACGCGGAGGUGCCGUCCGUUCGGCACUAGGAUCUCCGGUGAUUUGGAUCACGACGAGUACGACUCCUUCAACCCCGUUCUCUUGAACGCUUCCGCUUAGCGAUCUACAAGGGUAUGUAGAUGCACUCUCCUUCCCCUCGUUGCUGGUUUCUCCAUAGAUAGAUCUUGGUGGUUCGUAGGAAAAUUUUGAAUUUAUGCUAUGUUCCCCAACAGUGGCAUCAUGAGCUAGGUCUAUUGCGUAGAUUAUUUGCAUGAGUAGAACACAAAGUAGUUGUGGGCGUUGAUUUUGUUCAAUAUGCUUACCGUUACUAGUCCAAUCUUGUUUCGACGGUAUUGUGGGAUGAAGCGGCCCGGACCGACCUUACACGUACUCUUACGUGAGACAGGUUCCACCGACUGACAUGCACUUGGUGCAUAAGGUGGCUAGCGGGUGCCAGUCUCUCCCACUUUAGUCGGAACGGAUUCGAUGAAAAGGAUCCUUAUGAAGGGUAAAUAGCAAUUGGCAUAUCACGUUGUGGUUUUGUGUAGGUAAGAAACGUUCUUGCUAGAAACCCAUAGCAGCCACGUAAAACAUGCAAACAACAAUUAGAGGACGUCUAACUUGUUUUUGCAGGGUAUGCUAUGUGAUGUGAUAUGGCCAAGAAGAAUGUGAUGAAUGAUAUGUGAGGUAUGAGAUUGAUCAUGUUCUUGUAAUAGGAUUCACGACUUGCAUGUCGAUGAGUAUGACAACCGGCAGGAGCCAUAGGAGUUGUCUUUAUUUAUUGUAUGACCUGCGUGUCAUUGAACAACGCCAUGUAAUUACUUUACUUUAUUGCUAACCGGUAGCCAUAGUAGUAGAAGUAAUAGUUGGCGAGACAACUUCAUGAAGACACGAUGAUGGAGAUCAUGAUGAUGGAGAUCAUGGUGUCAUGCCGAUGACGAUGAUGAUCAUGGAGCCCCGAAGAUGGAGAUCAAAAGGAGCAAAAUGAUAUUGGCCAUAUCAUGUCACUAUUUGAUUGCAUGUGAUGUUUAUCAUGCUUAUGCAUCUUAUUUGCUUAGAACGACGAUAGUAAAUAAGAUGAUCCCUUACAACAAUUUCAAGAAGUGUUCUCCCCUAACUGUGCACCGUUGCUAAAGUUCGUCGCUUCUAAGCACCAUGUGAUGAUCGGGUGUGAUGGAUUCUUACAUUCACAUACAACGGGUGUAAGACAGAUUUACACACGCGAAACACUUAGGGUUAACUUGACGAGCCUAGCAUGUACCGACAUGGCCUCGGAACACAGAGACCGAAAGGUCGAGCAUGAGUCGUAUAGUAGAUACGAUCAACAUGAAGAUGUUCACCGAUGAUGACUAGUCCGUCUCACGUGAUGAUCGGACACGGACUAGUUGACUCGGAUCAUGUAAUCACUUAGAUGACUAGAGGGAUGUCUAUCUGAGUGGGAGUUCAUAAGAUGAACUUAAUUAUCCUGAACAUAGUCAAAAGAUCUUUGCAAAUUAUGUCGUAAGCUCGCGCUUUAGUUCCACUAUUUAGAUAUGUUCCUAGAGAAAAUAUAGUUGAUAGUUGAGAGUAGCGAUUAUGCAAUCAGUAGAGAGCUUAUGUCCUUAAUGCACCGCUCAGUGUGCUGAACCCCAAACGUCGUCUGUGGAUGUUGCGAACAUCAGACAUACACGUUUUGAUAACUACGUGAUGGUUCAGUUAAAUGGUUUAGAGUUGAGGCACUAAAGAUGUUUUCGAAAUGUCGCGGAACAUAUGAGAUGUUUCGAGGGCUGAAAUUGGGAUUUCAGGCUCGUGCCCACAUCAAGAGGUAUAAGACCUCCGAUGAUUUUCUUAGCCGGCAAACUAAGGGAGAAAAGCUCAAUCGUUGAUCUUGUGCUAAGAUUGUCUGAGUGCAACAAUCACUUGAAUCGAGUGGGAGUUGAUCUUCCAGAUGAGAUAGUGAUGUUUCUCCAAAGUCAUUGCCACCAAGCUGCAAGAGCUUCGUGAUGAACUAUAACAUAUCAGGGAUAGAUAUGAUGAUCCUUGAGGUAUUCGCGAUGUUUGACACCGCGAAAGUAGAAAUCAAGAAGGAGCAUCAAUUGUUGAUGGUUGGUGAAACCACUAGUUUCAAGAAGGGCAAGGGCAAGAAGGGAUACUUCAUGAAACGGCAAAUCAGCUGCUGCUCUAGUGAAGAAACCCAAGGUUGAACCCAAACCCGAGACUAAGUGCUUCUGUAAUAAGGGGAACAACCACUGGAGCAGCAUUACCCUAGAUGCUUGGUAGAUGAGAAGGCUGGCAAGGUCGAUAGAAGUAUAUUGGAUAUACAUUAUGUUAAUGUGUACUUUACUAGUACUCCUAGUAGCACCAGGGUAUUAAGAUACCGGUUCGGUUGCUAAGUAUUAGUAACUCGAAAUAAAAGAGCUACGGAAUAAACAGAGACUAGCUAAAGGUGAGCUGACGACAUGUGUUGGAAGUGUUUCCAAGUUUGAUGUGAUCAACUAUCGCACGCUCCCUCUACCAUCAAGAUUAGUAUUAAACAUGAAUAAUUGUCAUUUUGUGUUUGCGUUGAGCAUAGACAUGAUUGGAUUAUGUCUAUCGCAAUACGGUUAUUCAUUUAAAGAGAAUAAUGGUUACUCUAAUUAUUUGAAUAAUACCUUCAAUGGUCUUGCACCUAAAGGAAUGGUUUAUUGAAUCUCGAUCGUAGUGAUACACAUUUUCAUGCCAAAAGAUAUAAGAUAGUGAUGAUAGUACCACUUACUUGUGGCACUGCCAUGUAAGUCAUAUUGGUGUAAAACGCAUGAUGAAGCUCCAUGUUGAUGGAUCUUUAGACUCACUCGUUUUUGAAAAGUUUGAGACAUGCAAACCAUGUCUAUUGGUGUAUACGCAUGAAGAAACUCCAUGCAGAUGGAUCGUUUGGACUCACUUGAUUUUGAAUCACUUGAGAUAUGCAAAUCAUACCACAUAAGCAAGAUGACUGAAAAGCCUCGGUUUCAGUAAAAUGGAACAAGAUAGCAACUUGUUGGAAGCAACACAUUUUCAUGUGUGCAGUCCAAUGAGUGCUGAGGUAUGCUGUGAAUAUCGUUAUGUUCUUACUUCACAGAUGAUUCGAGUAGAUGUUGAGUAUAUUUACUUGAUGAAACACAAGUCUGAAUUAUUGAAUGGUUCAAUUAAUUUCAGAGUGAAGUUUAAGAUCUUCGUGACAAGAGGAUAGAAUUUCUAUGAUAUGAUCAUAGAGAUGAGUAUCUGAGUUACGAGCUUUGGCACGCAAUUAAGACAUUGUGGAAAUUGUUUCACAAUGAAUACCGCCUAGAACACCAUAGUGAGAUGGUGUGUCCGAACAUCAUAGUUGCACCCUAUUGGAUAUGGUGCGUACCAUGAUGUCUCUUAUCGAAUUACCACUAUCGUUCAUGGGUUAGGCAUUAGAGACAACCGCACUCACUUUAAUAGGGUACCACGUAAUUUCAUUGAGACGACACCGUUUGGAGAAACCUAAGUUGUCAUUUCUUAAAAAGUUUGGGGCUGCGACGCUUAUGUGAAAAAGUUUUAGGUUGAUAAGCUCGAACCUAAAGCGGAUAAAAUGCAUCUUCAUAGGACACCCAAAACAGUUGGGUAUACCUCCUAAUUCAGAUCCGAAAGCAAUAGGGAUUGUUUCUUGAAUCGGGUCCUUUCUCGAGGAAAAGUUUGUCUCGAAAAGUUGAGUGGGAGGAUGGUGGAGACUUGAUGAGGUUAUUGAACCGUCACUUCAACUAGUGUGUAGCAGGGCAUAGGAAGUUGUUCCUGUGGCACAUACACCAAUUGAAGUAGAAGCUUAUGAUAGUGAUCAUGAAGUUUUGGAUCAAGUCACUACCGUACCUCGUAGGGUGACAAGGAUGCAUACCACUUUAGAGUGGCACAGUAAUCAUGUCUUGAAGGUCAUGUUGCUAGACAACAAUGAACCUACGAGCUAUGGAGAAGCGAUGGUGGGCCCAAAUUCUGACAAAUGGUUAGAAGCCAUGAAAUCCGAGAUAGGAUCCAUGUAUCAGAACAAAGCAUGGACUUUGGUGGACUUGCCCGAUGAUCGGCAAGCCAUUGAGAUAAAUGGAUCUUUAAGAAGAAGACGGACGUGGACGGUAAUGUCACCAUCUAUGAAGCUCGACUUGUGGCAUAGAUUUUUUCACAAGUUCAAGGAGUUGACUACGAUGAGAUUUUCUCAUCCGUAGCGAUGCUUAAGUCCGUCGGGAUCAUGUUAGCAUUAGCUGCAUUUAUGAAAUCAGGAAGAUGGAUGUCAAAAACGAGUUUGCUUACCAGUUUUGUAAGGAAAGGUUGUAUGUGAUACAAUCAGAAAGUUUUUGUCGAUCCUAAGGAUGCUAAAAGGUAUGCUGGCUCCAGCGAUCCUUCUAAGGACUGGAGUAAGCAUCUCGGAGUUGGAAUAUACGCUUUGAUGAAAUGAUCAAAGAUUUUGGGUUUAUACAAAGUUUGUGAGAAACUUGUAUUUCCAAAGAAGUGAGUGGAAGCACUAUAGAAUUUCUGAUGAGUAUAUGUCGUUGACAUAUUGAUGAUCAGAAAUGAUGUAGAAUUUUCUGUAAAGCAUAUAGGGUUAUUUGAAAAGUGUUUUUCAAGUGAAAACCUGGAUUAAGCUACUUAAACAUUGAGCAUCAAGAUCUAUGAGGAUAGAUCAAAACCGCUAAAUGGUACUCUCAAAUGAGCACAUACCUUGACAUGAUCUUGAAAGUGUUCAAGAUGGAUCAGUCAAAGAAGGAGUUCUUGGCUGAGUUGUAAGGUAUGAAGUUAAGACUUAAAGCUCGACCACGGCAGAAAAGAGAGAAAGGACGAAGGCCGUCCCCUAUGUUUCAGACGUAGGCUCUAUAGUAUGUUAUGCUGUGUACCACACCGGAAGUGUGCCUUGCCAUGAGUCAGUCAAGGGGUACAAGAAUGAUCCAGGAAUGGAUCAUUGGACAGCGGUCAAAAUUGUCCUUGGAGUAAAUAAGGACAUGUUUCUCAAUUAUGGAGGUGAUAAAGAGUUCAGCGUAAAGGGUUACAUCGAUGGAAGCUUUAACACCUAUCCGAAUGACUCUGAGUAGCAAACCGGAUACGUAUAGUGGAUCAACCAUUUGGAAUAGCUCCAAGUGGAGCAUGGAAGCAGCAUUUACAAUAUGACAUAGAGAAUUGCGAAGUACAUACGGAUCUGAAUAUUGCAGAUCCAUUGACUAAAACCUCUCUCACAAGCAAAACAUGAUCAAACCCCAGAACUCAUUGAGACUUAAUCAAAUGGUGAUGUGAACUAGUUUAGACACUAGUAAACUCUUUGGAUGUUGGUCACAUGGCGAUGUGACCUAUCAGUGUUAAUCACAUAGCGAUGUGAACUAGAUUAUUGACUCUAGUGCAAGUGGGAGACUAUUGGAAAUAUGCCCUAGAGGCAAUAAUAAAUUGGUUAUUAUUAUAUUUCCUUGUUCAUGAUAAUCGUUUAUUAUCCAUGCUAUAAUUGUAUUGAAAGGAAACUCACAUACAUGUGUGGAUACAUAGACAACACCAUGUCCCUAGUAAGCCUCUAGUUGACUAGCUCGUUGAUCAAUAGAUGGUUACGGUUUCCUGACCAUGGACAUUGGAUGUCAUUGAUAACGGGAUCACAUCAUUAGGAGAAUGAUGUGAUGGACAAGACCCAAUCCUAAGCCUAGCACAAAAGAUCAUAGUUCGUAUGCUAAAGCUUUUCUAAUGUCAAGUAUCAUUUCCUUAGACCAUGAGAUUGUGCAACUCCCGGAUACCAUAGGAAUGCUUUUGGUGUACCAAACGUCACAACGUAACUGGGUGGCUAUAAAGGUGCACUACAGGUAUCUCCGAAAGUGUCUGUUGGGUUGGCACGAAUCGAGACUGGGAUUUGUCACUCCGGUUGACGGAGAGGUAUCUCUGGGCCCACUCGGUAGGACAUCAUCAUAAUGUGCACAAUGUGAUCAAAGAGUUGAUCACGGGAUGAUGUGUUACGGAACGAGUAAAGAGACUUGCCGGUAACGAGAUUGAACAAGGUAUCGGUAUACCGACGAUCGAAUCUCGGGCAAGUACAAUACCGUUAGACAAAGGGAAUUGUAUACGGGAUCGAAUGAGUCCUUGACGUCGUGGUUCAUCCGAUGAGAUCAUCGUGGAACAUGUGGGAGCCAACAUGGGUAUCCAGAUCCCGCUGUUGGUUAUUGACCGGAGAACGUCUCGGUCAUGUCUACAUGCCUCCCGAACCCGUAGGGUCUACACACUUAAGGUUCGAUGACGCUAGGGUUAUAAAGGAAGUUUGUAUGUGGUUACCGAAUGUUGUUCGGAGUCCCGGAUGAGAUCCCGGAUGUCACGAGGAGUUCUGGAAUGGUCCGGAGGUGAAGAUUUAUAUAUGGGAAGUCCUGUUUUGGUCACCGGAAAAGUUUCGGGUUUUAUAGGUAACGUACCGAGACCACCGGGAGGGUCCCGGGGGUCCACCAAGUGGGGCCACCGGCCCCGGAGGCUUGCAUGGGCCUAGAGUGGAAUGGGACCAGCCCCAAAGUGGGCUGGUGCGCCUCCCACCCUUGCCCAAGGCGCAGCUAGGAGGGGAGAGGGGAAACCCUAGGCGCAGAUGGGCCUAUAGGCCCACCCUAGGGCGCGCCCCCUCUCUCCCCCUCUUGGCCGCCCCCUCCAAGUCCCAUCUAGGGCUGGCCGCCGCCCCCUAGGGGUGGAAACCUAGGUGGGGGCGCAGCCCCCUCUCCCCCUAUAUAUAGUGGAGGCAUUGGAGCAGCCCAAGACAUGAGUUUCUUCCCUCUAUUGGCGCAGCCCUACCUCUCUUACUCCUCCUCUCCCGCGGUGCUUGGCGAAGCCCUGCAGGAUUGCCACGCUCCUCCAUCACCACCACGCCGUUGUGCUGCUACUGGAUGGAGUCUUCCUCAACCUCUCCCUCUCACCUUGCUGGAUCAAGGCAUGGGAGACGUCACCGGGCUGUACGUGUGUUGAACGCGGAGGUGCCGUCCGUUCGGCACUAGGAUCUCCAGUGAUUUGGAUCACGACGAGUACGACUCCUUAAACCCGUUCUCUUGAACGCUUCCGCUUAGCGAUCUACAAGGGUAUGUAGAUGCACUCUCCUUCCCCUCGUUGCUGGUUUCUCCAUAGAUAGAUCUUGGUGAUUCGUAGGAAAAUUUUGAAUUUAUGCCACGUUCCCCAGCAUAAGAUUGCCGUGUCAUCAAGAGGUACCAAUAUCAUUCGCUCAUACGAUAGGGUUAUCUGGCUAGUGAUAUUUUUUCACUCUCUCUCUCUCUCUUUGUUUCCUCUCAUUUAACUAGGAGCACGUGAAGAGCUUGGGCAUUUGUUGCCUUCCACUAUGUGGCCGAUGCCAUAUUUCGCAAAAGUAUGCCACAUAAUACGCAUCGAUGUCAAAUCAAAAGAUUUUGGCACCGCUCUCGCGAUGUGAGAGAGUUGGCACCGCUGUGCACAUAGACCCACAUGUAUAAACAAAUCAAUCAAACCAACUACACCAGCCUCUCACUCUCCCAAACAAGUGUUUUUUUAUUGCCUCAGUCCUCUCUCUCUCUCCCACGCAGUGUUUUUUCAUUGCGUGAGUUAAUUUGGCACCGGAGCAAAGUAGGUGAUCCAGAUUGGGGCACCAGGUGAGCAAUGGAGGGGCAUCGAUGCCAAAUGCAUCACAAGUGAAUUUGGCACAUUUUUUGGCCUACAUAGCCCACUUUUGUAAUACUACCUCGUAUUUAGUAUAAACUUUUGACCAUAGAUUUACCUAAGAAAAUGCCAAUGCAUGUCACUAAAAAUUACACCUUUUGAAAUUAUGUUCAAAUAUGAAUCCAACGAUAUAGUUCUUAGUGACAUGCAUUAACAUUUUGUCAGUUAAAUCUACGGUCAAAUUUUGAUACUACAAAAUUGGAAGAGUAAACCAGGACGGAGGUAGUACUUGCUCUUAGGGUAACCAUAGAGUUACUAGAGUAGUCUAAGUUACUUUCCACUAUGACUAGCCUAGGCUACUAUAGUAGUAGUACAGCAUAAAAAUGAUGCAGGUGAUCACAUGAGAAAAAAUACUAAAAAGAUUUCUUUCGGUGCAGUGCGUAGAUGAAGUUUUGAACACUACACUUGUCAUCAUAAUUUGGGAAAAUUACGAAAAAAUUGAGCUACGUUGUGAUUACCGUUUACUUAUAGGAAAGAAGUUUCACCUCGAUGAGUAGCUUCUCCGUGCACGGAAAGCAUGUAAGGAAUCCAACAACUUCAUCCAGAUUGGGGCCGAUAGAUUUUAGUGCUAAGAUCUUCACUGUGCGCAUAGACUGGGUCAAGCUUGUGGGAAUCAUUUUCUGGAAGACGGUCAUAAAUACAUCAAGAAGAAAUUUAAAAAUGUGAAUUUCAAGAAGACGGAGAAGAAGAUGAGUGUUGUACCUGAACGAUUACGAAUCCAAUAAAGAGUUCGGAGAAUUUGGCAGAUGAGUACACCAACGUUGUCAAUUUCGGCGCGUCAAUGCCUGAUUUUUGUUAGACCUUCUAGAUCCGAUACAAGCAAUCUCUCAAGGAAAGGCGCAUUCUCAAUGACCAUAACGUGGAACAGCUGGAAUGAUCUCUUCCCAAUUGAUGUCUUGUUGUGGGGCUAGCAAGACACAUAAAUCCAUCGGAGAUUCGUCGAGGCGAUGUGGAGGCUAAUGAACCCGUGGAUCUGCUCAAGACGAAGGUACUCGAGCGCAGUACAGCUGCGGAGCAGGUGCUCCAUAGCCUUCUUCGAGAUGACAACAUCGAAGAGGUCGAGCUGCUUGAGCUGAGGGAGAAGAAGGGCGGGCGCGGCAUUAAUCUGGGGAAGAUAGCAGGAGCUGAAGCUGGCGUGACGUAGCGUUGGCGUGAGGCGGAGCGCGAACGGCGGCAGAGAGCGACAUCGUCUAGCUUCAAAGCUGAGCUCCUCGAGCUGAUCUAGGGUAGGGGAUAAGAACCACUCGUCGAACUUGGGUUGGACCUUGCAGUUGGUACUGAACAUGCGGAUGUCAAGGCGUCUGGCUGGCCCAGGGUGCGAUGAAAGGAUCUUGGAGACUGCGGCCAUGCGUUUGCAAUCCCCGUCGCAGAGGCAGCUGCCGACGGUAAGGUUGAGGGGGACGCAGCGCCAGAGGGGGCGCCACCGCCGGGAGAGCAGGGCGGUCCGCACGGUAGAUUUGGUGGGGAGGAGGCCGAUGAUGAUGAGCAGCAUGUCGUCGGGGAGGCUGCUGAUGAAGUCUAGGCUCGCCGGAUGCGGUUUUGGCUCGAGCCGCCUUCGCAUGUUGGCUGCCUCACCGUCCAUCUCAACCGGCGACGAUGCUGGUGUACACGUGUGCUGGUGUGUGUUGUGUGUUGGGUGUGCGCGAGUGCGUCCUUCUGUGCAUGCCGCCGUGCAGUGGUGAAUUGUGCACGAGUGCAUCCUUCACGCGCAAGAAGUUUGUCCUCAAUGCGCCCUCAAUUUACUAGCGUGCGGGGUGCUACCCCGAGUGGUUCAACUUUGUUUACUUCACUGCGUGUCAGAUGGGCCUCUAGUUUACUUAUUUUCACCCACUGCCACAUGGGCCAGCACACCAAGAUACAGAACACGAGCUGACAAUGCAGCAUGUGGAUUGGUUGACCGGUCAACUAAACAAUAUACGGAGCUAUACGCUGACACAAUGAGCAUAUAAUCCAUCGGUAUAGAGAGUUCGUGUGAGAGGGGAGGCCCGUGAGAGAUAGCAGAGAGAGAGAGAGAAAGAGCUACUCCCUCCGUUCGAUAAUGUAGUUACAACAUUUUUUUUAAGUCAAACUUUUGAAACUUUGACCAAGUUUAUAAAGAAAUUACUUAUAUCUACAAUACCAAAGAUAAAUGAUAUUAUGAAGUAAGUACAUGUUGUGAUGAAUCUAAUGAUCGUUCCAGAUGUAAAUGUUUUUCUCCACAUAUACCUGGUCAAACUUUUCUGAGGUUUGACUUUUCAAAACAUCCAUAUGCUUAUGGACGUGAUAGAGUCCCUAGAGAGAGAGAGAGAGAGAGAGAGAGAGAAGUGUGUGUGUGUGUGUGAAAGAGACAUGGAGAACACACGAUAAAAGUAGAGAAAAAGCGUGCGUGUCUUAUGCAAACAUAUCGCACAUGCAUCUUCGACAACGGAGGCAAGGUGAGGAGAUAGUGUGUGGUUGUUUGGAACCGAGAGAGGAAGACCCCUAGCAUGUGGCCAAGAGGGGUCUGACAAACAAGGGAGAGAGGUUGAGAGAUACGUACGGAGAAAAUGCAGACAUGGGGAGGAGAGAGUGUAUGUUUGUCAUAGAGAGAUCCCCUGGAGAUCAUGAUGGGACUACAUGGGUGGGAGAUCGAGUGACAAGGUGUGUGCGCGAUAGAAGAUGCCCCGAGAGAUAGACGUAUGGAUGGAAGGAGACAAUACGUGUGUUCCUGAUGGCUAGUAAGAGACAAUCAUACUUAGGAGGGGGGGAGUGCUUGCGCCUAUGGCCCUGUUUGGAUACUCUAACUCAGUUAGAGGUUAGAGUUAGAUUCAUACCCUGAACUAACUCUAAGUAAAGAGGUGUUUGGAUGGCAGGGUUAGAUGGAGCACGGAUACGGCAAGGCACCUUCACGGGCGGUGCAAGAGGGAAGGAGGGAGAGGAUGAGAAGCUUCGAGGAAGUGGGGAGGGAUCUGCUGCGGGGAGAGCGAGAGAAAAAAGUGUUUAUUAGUGGUCCCGAGAAGAACUAACCCAAAUAAGUACCUCUUGGAUGGGUUAGUUUUUUUGGAUGGGUUAGAUGCAUCUAACCUAAACUAACCCUCCUGUUUGGAUCUUUUAGGGUUAGUUGACUCCAAACUAACCCAAACUAACUCUAACCCAUGGAUCCAAACAGAGCCUAUGAUGGAGUGAGGGAUUAUGGUACUUAGGGGGGUGCGUGUCACAUGGAGAGAGAACAAGGGCGGAGAGUGUUGGAUGGGUCUAUAUGUAUAGCGCGAGCGAGACAUGUUUAUGUGUGAACCAGGGAGAUAUAAGGCCAGUUUGGCUUGCGUCGUGAGCAUCUUUUGCGUGGCCUGGGGUUGUGGCUGGAUUUCAUGCAGGCUUGUUUGGUUGCUACCCUGUGAAAAAUAAAGCCCGCCUGGGCUGGGUUCCCUUGCACUUUAAUUAGCCUGGCUGAACUCCACACACUACAAGUAGCCUGGCCCAAGCGACCGAUUUUGAACGCCUGGUCGUGCGGCCACGAGGCUAACAGCAACAUGGAUGGAUAUUAGCAUUAAAUAAUUGAUGCAUGGAUUGAUUGAUGGGACGUUGAUGCUUUGCCUGGCCCAGGCAUGAACCAAACGCUUCAGCACCACACAAGCCUGGCCAGGCAGAAAUAUUUUAUAUCUCACGUCCACACCAGGCAGUACCGGCCAUCAAGGCAUGAGGGUCAGGUCACGAACCAAAUUGACCAAUAAAGUUUGAGAGAGAUUGAGGAGCCCCAAUAAGGCUGAGUGGUGCGUCAGAUAGCUGAGAGGGGGAAAGAGAUAUUCCAUCCGCUCGAUAAUGUAGUGCAUGUAAAUUUUUUAGAAGUCAAACUUUGGAAACUUUGAUCAGGUUUACGCAAAUGUUAUUUACAUCUACAACACCAAAGAUACAUCAUACAAAAAAAUGUUAUUUACAUCUACAAUACCAAAGAUACAUCAUACAAAACUACAUCUCAUGGUGAAUCUAAUGGUAUAUGUUUGCCGUAGUAGAUGUAAUUGUUUUUCUCCAUGUACAUGGUCAAACUUUGUGAUGUUUGACUUUUCAAUAAAUCUAUACGCUAUGGACGGAGGAGAGUGCCUCAGUCGAGACAGAUCAAGUGCGUGUGAAGGAGAAUGAGUAAGUGUGCAAAAAGAGUAUGUGUAUGAAAGAGAAAGUGACAACAAACGAUAAAUUAGAGAGAGAGCGUGUUUUUUCGUUUCUUAUGCAAACAUAUCACGCAUGCAUCUCCGAGUUGGAAAAGCGAGGCGAGGACAUACACGAAGAUAGCUAGUGUGUGAUUGUUUGCAACGGAGAGAGACACCCCUGUAGCACAUGUCAAAUAGAGGUCUGGCCAACAAGGAAAAAAGGUCGAGAGGGACACAUGGAUGGCAUGGAUGCAUGAGGAGGGAGAAAGGGUGUGUUUGUGAUAGAGAGAUCCCAUCGAGAUCGUGAGGGGACUAUAUAUGGGUGGGAGAUCGAGGGAGUGCGUGCGCGAUAGAAAGAUGCCCCGAGAGAAAUCGAGAUAGACCAUGCACAUGUUUGUGAUGGAGACUAAGAUUAGCUAGUCAUAUACAUAUAGGGGGGACUGCGUGUGCCUACAAUUGAGUGAGAGACCAUCAUACUUGGCUAGCUCGGCAUGAGAUUGUGUGUGUGUGUGCAUGUGAGAUGGAGAGAGAACGAGGGAGAGAGAUAGAGUUUUAGAUGGGCCUAUCGAGUGCGAGUGAGAUAUGCAUGUGUAUGUGUGACCCAGGUGGAUGGAGAGUUUGAGAGAGGGAGGAAGAGCUCCGAGACGACAUAGUGGUGCAUGAGAGAGUUACGGGCAAAGAGCCAAGGAAUUUGUGUGCGUACGAUGAGUGCACCCAAGAUAUCUAGCUUGGACUAGCUAGAGUAUCAUACAUAGUGUGCGAGAGAGACCUAUAGAUGGUGUAUAUAUGAAUGUGAACUAGAAAGACCCCCCCCCACACACACACUGAGAGAGAGAGAGAGAGAGAACAGGAGUCCGGGAGAGGGGGAGGUCAUGUUUUAUGCAUCAAAGACUGAUAUAAACCAUGUUUCGAUAUAAACUUGCAUUCAAAUAUUUAAAUUGGAGAACAUGUUGUCUGCAAUCCACACAUGAACGGAUAUAUGCGUAUAUCAAACAAGUUCAUUAAUUUGACUUUCAACAUGUUCAUGGAGUACUAUAAUACUGUACAACAUGCUACUCGAUUGAGGUGUUCAAUUUUGGAUUUAGUUCACUAUUUUGACCUACUGAACGAGCUAGUUCAUUGAAUCGAGAUAUUUCAUUUUGGGUUUGAUUCACGUUUUUGAGUGGGUCAACUAUUUGUCAUAUAGUAAAUCGCUAGCAAUGAGCAUGUAAAAACACAUUACUCCCGAGCAUCAUCUCUCCAUCUAAAAAAGAAGUGGCAAGCUAAUAUUUCAAAAUUUGAUUCAAAUCGACUUGGUAAGGUAGACGUGGAUGCUCGUUCUCCCAAAAUUUGAAUGAACCAUUAAACAUCCUCUCUGAUCGGUGGAAUUCGCCUGAGCAAAUAAAUGGGAGACGCGAAAUUACCGUCCUAUGUGGGACACGCAUCAAUUGGCCCGUUGUACAUCAAGGGUAGGUUCAUAACUUCAUCCAAGCCCGCCUUCUCCUCGGCCGAAAUGACAUGUGCCGAAUAAUUCAUAAACCAUGGUCGGCAAAACACGCUCUCCUCGCCCGAAAUAGCUCGCGCCCACUAUUUCAAAAACGCUCUCCUCGCCCGAAAUCGCUCGUGCCCACUAUAGUUCAGAACACGCCCUCCUCGCCCGAAAUUGCUCCCGCCCACUAUUUGGGGAGAAGCAAAGUUACUCUACUAUCCCCGACCCUCAGUACACAGACCAAAGCCGAGAAGCCCAUAGGCAAGGGUAGAACUGUAACUCCCCCUCACAUUUUAGACAAAUGCGUUCGUAAGACAUGGUUCCACUCCCCUCCCAACCCCCCCCCCCCGCCCGCCCCCAUUCAUACCUCGUGGGCGCCAAAUCACCUUCUUCCCGGGAAGCUCCCUCCUCCCGAGCCACAAAACCUCAGCCCCACCUCCAUGGUGCCCCCCACCGCACCAAUUUCACAGCCGCCCUCCUCCCUAAUGCCGGAGACGCUGUCCAAUUGCCGUCGUGCACUGGGCCGUGUGCCUCUUACUCCGUGCUGCUGGUGUUGCCUCGACGAUGGCCGCAUGAACCGUACCGGAGCCGACUCACCCCCGCCAUUGUUCACGGCGCCGGAGCGGAUCCAACUUCGGAUCGAUCCAGAGUCCUGGCGCUGCUUCCGUGUAGCCGUCGACCGUCGCGACAUCGCUCUUUCCCUGCCGCCGGUCGCCACCGCAACCGCGUCGGCCUCACCGACUCGGCAGCUGGACCUGCCUACUUCACCAUGCCGCCAGAUAGGUCGCACCCUUAUCUCAAAUCACUUUAUUUAGGCGUCAGUUGUCUGAAUUUUUAUUCUGGGCCAAUUGAUUCUCAAUGGGAAGCAGUACCCCUCGAGGCGGCGGAGCUCCUAGGCUGCCGGUUGGCUGGUGUCUAACAUAAGGGUGCGGGGCCGCAAGUUCGCCGCGGAAGCAGCGCUUAGAUGGCCAUCUUUUAGAGUUGCGUGGGUUGAAGGUACUGCCGCCGCCAGAUCUGGAUGAUGGGGAGUCUUUGUGGAUUGGCCCGGGGCGGCGCAACCACGAUAGUGCGGUGGGGCGGGGAGUGGGGUUUUGGCCGGGGCCACAGACGGCGGUGGCAGGCUGCUCUACCGUUGGUCACUGGCUCUUCGGGGAAGAUUCCGAACAGUGUCAGCCGGGAGGCAGAAGACGGCCAUCAAGCCAUCCGGCGUAGAUCGGACAGUACCAAAAUAAAAAUAAAAUCGUGUGACCCCAAUUUAGUCUUCAAUCAACAGACGUGUGACCACUCUCGUACCUUUGCUGUUGAUCUCUUAGUGUAUUUCUUCAGAUCAAAGAGAUAUGUCAUUCUUAACAUUAUGUGUUAUUUGCAUCUUCAGACACACCGUGUUCCGACUCACCGCAACUGCUCCAACAAGGGAAUCAUACACCAGAAGGGAGCUACAAUCCCCACUCAACAGUUCCCUGCAUCGAAUGCGCGUGCCCGACAUGGACAGCCACAACAACUGCAGGGCCAUCGACAAGUUAGCACAUGAUGCUCACUCCUAUGGAUGGCAGCCAGAUAGGUUGUACCCUCAUCUUACUUGUGUGCAACAUUUAUGGCUUUGUUAUUCAUCUAAGCACGGAAAAUAGAUCAUCACAUUUCACUAUAUAUUCAUGCUGACCUCUUACGGGUCUUGUUCAGGAGUUCACGCUGUUCCCUAGUUCAGCUAAGAUACUUGUUCUUUAGGUAACGUUGUUCCAUAGUUAUCAUCCAUCAGCCAAUGCUAUCCCACAGGCUGGUGAUUAUAGUAUUAUACCACUUCUAGUAUUGCCUAUGUUGUUCUUUAAUACUUUUGUGUGCCAUCUAGUUAAUCUCGAGUACAAACGAUACAUAUUUUGUAGCUUUCAUCUGUGUUCUCCCUUUAGUUUAUGAGACCUGUUGCUGCUAGUUAACCCCAGUCCUACUAUUUAUGUCAUCUCCUACAGGCACUCAUUUACAUAAAUCUAACUACUAGUUGUCUUCCAUGCAUGUCAGAUAUAAUUACACACACUGACAUAUCCACAAGAACCUCACGGAGCAAUGUAAAGGCCAAUAAACUUGAUGUCAAUGAUACCCAAUAUGAUAGAACAUGUAAAGGCAGUUCUUCAGAAGACUUGCAGAAAGAUGAUGAAUCCUCUUCACCCCACAAGGUCCUUGCUCUAACUUGGCCUGUGAUAUGGGUACAACAUGCAUAUAAUGUCCUGGAGUGUAUCUACUCUGUUACAAUGCCAUGUGCUUAGCAUGCUGAUCAUGCAUGUAAAUAUGUCAUGCCUUCAUGUUUUUCAGUACCUAUUCCAUUCAUGAUAACAUGUUUUCAAAUUCAAGUACUGUCAUUCUACUCUAUCGCAAUGCCAUCUACUUAAUUUGGACAUCAUGCUUCUGAAUAUCUUAUGCAUUGUUAUUCAUCAGUAUGUACUUCAUCUGUCUUCCAUACCAUGUUUUUUACAUUGAAGUGUUGUUCUAGUGCUCUGUUGCAAUGCCAUCUUAUUUUCCCAAUCAUACACGUGUAUGUUGCCUUAGUUAUUUCUGUACGUAUUCCGCUAUCAUAUAGUUUUACAUUCAACUAGUGUUUUUUUGCUGUGUUGUCCUGUUGUAUCCCUAGCUCUUACACCAUACUCCCUCUGUCCGGAUUACAUGUUGCCGAAAUGGAUAAAAAAGGAUGUAGCUAGAACUGAAAUACGCCUAGACCCAUCCAUUUUUUCCGAAUGGAGGGAAUACAUGUCAAUAUGCCAUGCCUUUCUAUUCUUCAGUACCUAUUCCAUCUCUCUGCUGUCGCAUGUUUUAUAGUUAAAGCACCAUUCUUCUAUACAAGGCAUGCAAGGGGAAGAUGACUAUGUUAGAAUCUGAAGGGUUACAAACAAGGCCUUUACAAAAGAUCCAAAUGCUAGGAGAUAAUAAACCAACUCCAGUUUUUAUAGAUACUGCUCCAGCACAGAGAAACCCAACUCCUACUGAUAAUAAGCAGAUUCCAGUGGCCAAAGAACUAGUCCGCUCCAGUCUAACAAAAAUAUGUCAACUCAAUUCUAAGAAGCAUGUGCGUAUCCUUGCAUCAUGAAAUUUUAUAGCAUGCUGAUCAUAUUUUCUACAUGUUUCUUACCCAUCUCUCUUUUAGAAAAUAAGCUUAACAAAUAGAAGAAUUUCUGCAAUGGUAUCGUUUAUGAGGAAAGAUUUUUGCAGGAAUUCUCUGUGCUCCAAUGUAGAUGUAAGUACCUGUUGUAUAUCACUAUAUUUUUACAUCAGCAUGUAUUUUGUUAAUCGGCGUGAAUCCAACGUUUAUCUGAUCUAAAUUUAGUUGUAGCAAAAUGUAUGAUCAAAGGCCACAAUGUUGAUUUUUGUAAGGAAAACUGCCUGGUAGUUUUGCAUCCUGAGCUGCAUGAGUGUACUAUCUCAUAUCAGUGGGUUUGAAUACUUUGGUUCUGCAGUGGGUUUUUCAGUGUUUUUUUACUGUGUUGUCCUGUCGUAUCCCUAGCUCUUACAUCAUACUCCCUCUGUCCGGAUUAAAUGUCGCAGAAAUGGAUAAAACUGGAUGUAUCUAGAACUAAAAUACGCCUAGACCCGUCCAUUUAUUUCCGGAUGGAGGGAAUACAUGUCAAUAUGUCAUGCCUUUCUAUUCUUUAGUACCUAUUCCAUCUCUGCUGUAGCAUGUUUUAUAACUGAAUCACCAUUCUUCUAUAUAAGGCAUGCAAGGGGAAGACGGCUAUGUUAGAAUCUGAAGGGUUACAAACGAGGUCUUUGCAAAAGAUCCAAACGCCAAGAGAUAAUAAACCAACUCCAUUUUUCAUAGAUACUGCUCCAGCACAGAGAAACCCAACUCCCACUGAUAAUAAGCAGAUUCCAGUGGCCAAAGAACUAGUCCGCUCCAGUCCAGCAAAAGAAUGUCAACUCCAUUCUAAGAAGCGUGUGCGUAUCCUCGCAUCAUGAAAUUUUAUAGCAUUCUGAUCAUAUUUUCUACAUGUUUCUUACCCAUCUCUCUUUUAGAAAAUAAGGUUAAACGAUAGAAGACUUCCUCCAUUGGGAUCGUAUUCGAGGAAAAUAUCUUGUUGGAAUUCUCUGUGCUCCAAUGCUGAUGUAAGUACAUGUUGUAUAUCACUAUAUUUUUACAUCAACAUAUAUUUUGUUAAUCGGCGUGAAUCUAACCUUUAUCUGAUCUAAAAUUAGUUGUAGCAAAAUUUUAAAGGCGCCAAUGUUGAUUUUUGUAAGGAAAACUACCUGGUAGUUUUGCAUACUGAGCUGCAUGAAUGUACUAUCUCAUAUCACGCACAUUACUGAAUUGUAGUGCUUCUCUGGUUGCCCAUUCAUUCAUUGUGUCAAUGUUCUUUCGUGCUACCUUACCUGGCUGAUGAUAGCUGUGUCAUAUUGUGUUAAUUUGGUGUAGGCUAGUUGCCCAAACGUUCGUUGUGUCAAUGUUGCUUUCCUAUUAUUUGACUUGGCCAAUGAUAGCAAUGCUAGUGUGUUAAUUUUGUGCAGGCUGCUGAAGAUAAGAAGACAAACUCUGAAAACAGCAAGGCAACCCCAUUGUUUCUUUCCAAUAAAUCUAGGCCAGGUAAUAUGGCAAUAACUCAUGAUUAAUCUGUUUGGCUCCCGUCCUAAUUUAUGUUAUGAUGCAGUGGUCGAGACACUCUCCACUAUCAAUAAUACAAGCCUGCCAAAAUCGCCAUCUGAAUCUGUUCAGUAUCCUCUUCUCGAAUGCAACAGAAUAAAUGUAUGUUUGUAAACCAAUUAAUGGCUGAAGCAAUGAUGGAAAUGGUGGAUGAAUCCGAGGUGUAGAGUCGUGCGACACAACAACUGAUCAAUGUUUUCAGAGACAGUGUAGCAAAGCAGAAAGAACUUGCCCAUAUGCUUAUGGGCGUCAUCUGUGCUGAGGUUGCAGAUUGUGACGUUGUAGAUGGUUAGGUUCUGCUCAUUUAUUUGCACUGGCAACAAUCUUUGAUUGCCCAGUGGAUGUAAUUUCCUGUAAUAUAUGCUGGAUGUGCAACGUUAUUCCCUGUAUGCCGUACCUUUGCUUGAUCGGUUUUGGUCCUGUGCAUAAUUGCUCGUCGUAAUGGGCUCAAAUUAUCUAAUUUGGCCUAAAGACAUGUACGAACUUUAGUGGGCCCAUUAAUUUAAUGGGUCGUUACUAGGCCAAAAGUUAAUGGUCGGCCCUCUUACCUCCCGGGUCGUUAACAGGCCGACAUCAAAGCGGGCAACAGGUGGCCCUAAUUUAUUUCACGGGCUGUUAACAGGCUGUUACUAAGUUUGGGCUACAUAUGGCCCAACUUUACUGUAGGCCUUUAGCAGGCCGAAAGAGACAGCGGGCUUGUACUGGACCAUGAAGACCAUGGGCCGCUAAGAGGCCGAAAGUCAGGUCGUAUUGUAAAUGGCCCAACUGUGUUGUGGGCCUUUAGCAGGCCGAAAGGAAACCGGGCUGGUAUUGGACCAUGAAGGGUAUGGGCCGUUAAAAGGCCAAAACUAAGGUCCGACUGCAAAUGGCCCAACUCAUUUAUGGUCCGUUAACAGGCCGAAAGGCACACAUGGCCGGGAAUUGGCCCAACACUUAAAUGGGUCGCUAAAAGGCCAAAACUCAGGUCCGACUACAAAUGGCCCAACUGAUUUAUGGGCCGUCAACAGGGUGAAAUUGACACCCGGCCAGAAAUUGGCCCAACACUUAGAUGGGCCGCUAAAAGGCCAAAACUCAGGUCCGACAACAAAUGGCCCAUCAGAUUUAUGGGCCGUCAAUAGGCUCAAAGACACACCGGGCCGGAAAUUAGCCCAACAUUUAAAUGGGUCGCUAAAAGGCCAAAAGAUGUACAUCCUAAAAAUUGGCCCAUCCAUUAAAUGGGCCGUUAAUAGGCCGAAAUCUCAUCAGGCCGAUAUUGAGCCCAAAUAUAUAGCGGAUUGUUAACGGGCUCGAACUGACGAUGGGCUGCAAUGGUGUCAAAUCUUUACGGGCCAUUGACGGGCCGAAUUGGCACAUCUCUUAUGGGUCGUGGGCUUAAAUGGACCUGACACAAGUAGGCCUUAUAUGGGCUGGCCUGCUAAUUUUUACUGGGCCGGCCUUUUCACAGGAAUGGGCCUCUGUUGGGCCGUGCCACGUGUCGAUGUAUCAUAGGCGCCUUCCGUCCAAUGAGUGGAUGACAUCUGUCCCAAUGAUGAGCCGACACGUGUUUCCUCCAGCCAAUGAUGAUUUUACACGUGGAAAAUCCCCAUUGGUCAGGGCUGUUAAUGGGUUAUCGGAUUCAAAACCCGACCCGAUAGCUUAAUGGCGUUCCGUUACGGUGGAUGCCACGUGCCGGUCACCCUUGAAAAAAGCACUUCUGUGACGCGCGAUUUUUCGUCAUGGAAGUGGACACUUCCGUGAUGAUAAUUUUGGUAAUGUCAUGGAACACUUCUACGACAGCACAAGUAUGACUAUCUUGAUUCUGUCAUAAAAUCGUCAUGGAUGUACAUGCAUGACAAAAAACCCAACCUACUGUGACAAACACGUAUCAUCACGGAAGUGUAUUUUUUUUGUAGUGAACACCGUGGGCGAUGAAGUCAAACAACCCACACGGUUUCUAUAAAGUAGGCGUGUUGGAUCAACUAACAAUCACACACUGCUUCCAACAGAGAACUGUUUGCGUUAGGCCACCUUGCACAAACGUUUCCCCACAAAAAAUUGCGUGAUAUAUACAUAUGAACGGAAACGUUUUUAUGGGAUUCACUAUGUGGGAUGUACAUACGAACGGAAAUGAUUGGGCUUCGAUGCCUCGCCCGGUCGAACGCGAGCUCAUUUUGCCCCGCCUAUAUGGUCGGAGGGCCUAUCCCCGAUGGUUUUUGGGUUGUGUGGGAAGGACCCCCCUGUCGCACACACUCACUAGGUGAAGGUUUAAAACUCUGUCGCGGAAAGGGGGUAAAAACCAUUUGUAUAGCACGUCUUUGCACCAGUGAAUACUCAAUCCAACAUAACAAAACCUCAAAGAGCAAGACUCAAUUCAUCACAAGAAGGUAGAGGGGGAGAAACACCAUAUGAUCCAACUAUAGUAACAAAGUUUGCGGUACAUCAAGAUCAUGCCAAAGCAAGAACACGAAAGAGAGAGAUCAAACACGUAGCUACUAGUACAUACCCUCAGUCCUGAUGGUGAACUACUCCCUCCUUGUAAUGGAGCCCACCGGGAUGAUGAAGAUGGCCUCUGGUGAUGAUUUCCCCCUUCGCCAGGGUGCUGGAACGGGCUCCUGAUUGUUUUUUCGUGGCUACAGAGGCUUGCGGCAGCGGAACUUCCGACCCAGGGUUCUUUUCGAAGGUUUUUGUAUAUAUAAGAGUAUUUGGCAUUGGAAACAAGUCAGGGGGACACCCGAGGGGCCCACAAGCCCUAGGGCGCGCCCUGGGGGUGGGCGCGCCCCUUGGCUUGUGGCCUCCUCGGUCACCUCCUGGCAACAUCUUCGGUGCUUCGUGGGUCUCUUCUGGUCCAUAAAUGAUCACUGUAAAUUUUCAGCCCAUUCCGAGAACUUUUUUUCUGCACAAACAACGACACCAUGGUAGUUCUGCCGGAAACAGCGUUAGUCCGGGUUAGUUCUAAUAAAAUCAUACCAAACCAUAUAGAACUGUUGCAAACAUGGCAUGAAUACUUCAUAAAUUAUAGAUACGUUGGAGACGUAUCAUGGUCCAAACACGAUGGAAAGUUUUGAAGACUUUUUCUGAACCAGAAGAAACCCUCAAAACUUCGGGAGUCGUCCAGAGGAUGCUCGAGGGCCCCACAAGGAUAGGUGGCAUGCCACCCAAGCUUUGUGCCCCCCUGAGCCUCGUCUUGUCCUAAUCACCGACCAAUAAAUUCGCAAAUGUUCCAAAACCAUCGAAGUGAGACCCGAAACAAUUUUAUCGCUACGACAAGUCUGUUCUAAAGCGAUCCCAUCUGGAGCCCUGUUUUGGCGUUCUCCCGGAUGGGGAAACCAUUGGGGUCGCCAUCUUCAUCAACCUUACUACCUCCAUGAUGGUGUGUGAGUAAUUCCUCCAGGACCUACGGGUCCAUAGUAGUAGCUACAUCUCUCUCUCUCUCUCUCUGACCUUCAAUACAGUGUUCUCUUUUGAGAUCAAUUCGAGUUCUUGUGGAGUGUUUGCUGGGAUCCAAUGAAUUGUGAAUCUAUGAUCAGAUUGUUCAUUGAUUUAUAUUAAAUCUCUUGAAUUUUCUUUGCUGCAUAAUUAAAUAGCUAUGUAUGCUUUUCGAUCUACGAGUCUUCUCUAGCCAAGAUAGAUGACUAAUUCUUCAGAGGGUGAUGCAUAGUAGUGGGUUUAAUCUUGUGGUGCUCUGAUCAAGUGGCAAUAAGGACGGAGACAUGUAUAUUGUAUUGUUGCCACUAAGGAUAAAGCAAUGAUGUUUAAUCUUAUUGCUAGAUUUCUUUCUGUCUACAUUAUGUCAUCUUGCUUAUUGUGUUAUUCCGUUUCUUGCAAACCUACUACUUUGAGAUGCAUGCUGGAUAGCGGUCUUGGAGCGGAGUAAUAGUGGUAGAUGCAGUUGGAUUAACGAUCUACUUAUCACAGACACAAUGCCUGAGAUUAUGCCAUGAAUGAUCAUAGUUCUCAACUGUUACUUUGUUGUCAAUUAUCGAACAACAAUUUGUCUACCAUGCCACUAUCUGAUUUCAAGAGAGAUGCCACUAGUGAACCCAUGACCCCGGUUCCGUUAUCCAUCUAUACAAGCUCUUAUAAAAUUGUUUAUUUUCCUUUACUUUUUACCGUUUUUACCUAUAUCUAUUUGCUCUUUUUGUAACUAGCAAGACAAGGGGGCUGAUAACCCCCUGCCAGGUUUUUAUUUGUUUGUGUGUAGGUGUUUUUUUACAUUGUUUGCUUGGUAACUGAUAACCCACAAGUGUAGGGGAUCGCAACACUUUUUGAUAAGUAAGAGUGUCGAACCCAACGAGGAGCUAAAAGUAGAACAAAUAUUCCCUCAAGUUCUAUCGACCACCGAUACAACUCUACGCACACUUGACAUUCGCUUUACCUAGAACAAGUAUGAAACUAGAAGUACUUUGUAGGAGUGAUAGGAAAGGUUUGCAAGAUAAUAAAGAACACGUAAAUAAAAGCUAGGGGCUGUUUUAAAUAAAGACGCAAUAAAGUAAAUAUAGCGAGUGUGGAAAAGUGGUGGUAGGAGUUGUGGAAUUGUCCCUAAGCAAUUGACUAUAUUACUAGACCGGUAAUCACUAUUGCAAUUCUAUUUGAGGGAGAGGCAUAAGCUAACAUACUUUCUCUUCUUGGAUAAUAUGCACUUAUGAUUGGAACUCUAGCAAGCAUCCGCAACUACUAAAGAUCAUUAAGGUAAAACCCAACCAUAGCAUUAAACUAUCAAGUCCCCUUUAUCCCAUACGCAACAAUCCCCUUACUCGGGUUUGUGUUUCAGUCACUCGCGCAACCCACUAUAAGUGAAUCAUGAACGCAUUGCAACACCCUACAGCGGGAAUCCCUCACGCUUGCGCGACACGGAGGGCACCAUAGGACAGCACCAAUAAUAAAACAUGCAACUCAAACCAAUCAUAGCAAUUCAUCAAUCAACGAUAGGACAACGAAAAUCUACUCAUACAUCAUAGGAUGGCAACACAUCAUUGGAUAAUAAUAUGAAGCAUAAAGCACCAUGUUCAAGUAGAGGGUACAGCGAGAUGCGGGAGAGUGGACCGCUGGAUAUAGAAGGGGGAAGGUGAUGGAGAUGUUGGUGAAGAUGACGGCAGUGUUGGUGAAGAUCGUGGUGAUGAUGAUGGCCCCCGGCAGCGCUCCAGCGCCACCGGAAGCAAGGGGGAGAGAGGGCCCCUUCUUAUUCUUCUUCCUUGACCUCCUCCCUAGAUGGGAGAAGGGUUUCCCCUCUGGUCCUUGGCUCCCAUGGCUUGGGAGGGGCGAGAGCCCCUCCGAGAUUUGAUCUAUCUCUCUGUUUCUGCGUUCUCUGAUUCUGCCCCUUCACCGUUUCCUUUAUAUCUGGAGAUCCGUAACUCCGAUUGGGGUGAAUCUUUCGCCCAGAUUUUUCUCAUAAAAUUAGCUUUCUUGCGACAAAAGAAGAGCGUCAACCGCCUUACGGGUGGCCCAUGAGAGACCAGGGCACGCCCAGGGGGAGGGCGCGCACCCCUAUCUCGUGGCCACCCCGGAAACCAUUUGACGUUGAUUCUUCCUCUGGAAAAUCCCAAAUAUUCCAAAAUAAUUCUCCGUCCGUUUUUAUCAUGUUUGGAUUCCGUUUGAUAUUGGGUUUCUGCGAAACAUAAAACAUGCAACAUACAGGAACUGGCACUGGGCACUGGAUCAAUAUGUUAGUCCCAAAAAUAGUAUACAAAGUUGCCAAAAGUAUAUGAAAGUUGAAGAAUAUUGGCAUGGAACAAUCAAAAAUUAUAGAUACGACGGAGACGUAUCAGCAUCCCCAAGCUUAAUUCCUGCUCGUCCUCGAGUAGGUAAAUGAUAAAAAAGAUAAUUUUUGAUGUGGAAUGCUACCUAGCAUAAUCUUGAUCAUAUGUCUAAUCAUGGCAUGAAUAUUAAGACACGAGUGAUUCAAAGCAAUAGUCUAUCGUUUGACAUAAAAACGAUAAUACUUCGAGCGUACUAAUAAAGCAAUCAUGUCUUUUCAAAACAACAAGGCCAAAGCAAGCUUAUCCCUACAAGAUCAUAUAGUUUUGCCAUGCUUCAUUUUUUUCACACAAAAUGCUCCCAUCAUGCACAACCCCGAUGACGAGCCGAGCAAUUGGUUCAUACUUUUUAACGCGCUUCAGCUUUUUCAACCCUCACGCAAUACAUGAGCGCAAGCCAUGGAUAUAGCACUAUAGGUGGAAUAGAAUAUAAUGAUGGAGGUUAUGUGGAGAAGACAAAAAAGGAGAAAGUCUCACAUCGACGCGGCUAAUCAACGGGCUAUAGAGAUUCCCAUCAAUUGAUGUCAAUGCGAGGAGUAGGGAUUGCCAUGCAACGGAUGCACUAGAGCUAUAAGUGUAUGAAAGCUCAAACUGAAAACUAAGUGGGUGUGCAUCCAACUUGCUUUCUCAUGAAGACCUAGGGCAUUUGAGGAAGCCCAUCGUUGGAAUAUAUAAGCCAAGUUCUAUAAUGAAAAUUCCCACUAGUAUAUGAAAGUGACAACAUAGGAGACAAUCUAUAUGAAGAACAUGGUGCUACUUUGGAGCACAAGUGUGGAAAAAGGAUAGUAACAUUGCCCCUUUUCUUUUUUUUCUUUUUUUUCUUUCUGGGUGGGCUUCUUUGGCCCCCUUUUUUAUUUAGGCUUCUUUGGUCUUUCCUUUUUUUUCAUGGGGCAAUGCUCUAUAAUGAUGAUCAUCACACUUUUAUUUACUUACAACUCGAUAUUACAACUCGAUACUAGAACAAAGAUAUGACUCUAUAUGAAUGCCUCCGGCGGUGUACCGGGAUUUGCAAUGAUCUAGCGUAGCAAUGACAUCAAACGGACAAGCCAUGAAAACAUCAUGCUAGCUGUCUUACGAUCAUGCAAAGCAAUAUGACAAUAAAUGCUCAAGUCAUGUAUAUGAUGAUGAUAGAAGUUGCAUGGCAAUAUAUCUCGGAAUGGCUAUGGAAAUGCCAUGAUAGGUAGGUAUGGUGGCUGUUUUGAGGAAGAUAUAAUGAGGCUUAUGUGUGAUAGAGCGUAUCGUAUCACGGGGUUUGGAUGCACCGACGAAGUUUGCACCAACUCUCGAGGUGAGAAAGGGCAAUGCACGGUACCGAAGAGGCUAGCAAUGAUGGAAAGGUAAAAGUGCGUAUAAUACAUGGACUCACAUUAGUCAUAAAGAACUCAUAUACUUAUUACAAAAGUUUAUCAUCCCUCAAAGCAAAGUACUACUAUGCAUGCCCCUAGGGGGAUAGAUUGGUAGGAAAAGACCAUCGCUCGUCCCCGACUGCCACUCAUAAGGAAGACAAUCAAAGAAACCCCCUGUGCUUCAAAUUUGUCACACAAUGGUUACCAUACGUGCAUGCUACGGGACUUGCAAACCUCAACACAAGUGUCUCUACAAUCCACAACCACCCACUAGCAUGACUCUAAUAUCACCAUCUUUAUAUCGCAAAACUAUUGCAAGGAAUCAAACAUAUCAUAUUCAGCGAUCUACAAGUUUAUGUAGGAUUUUGUGACUAACCAUGUGAAUGACCAAUUCCUGUCAUCUCUCUAAAUUGAUAUAAGUGAAGCAAGAGAGUUUAAUUCUUUCUACAAAAGAUAUGCCCCCGCUCUAACAAAUAUAAGUGAAGCAAAAGAGCAUUCUACAAAUGGCGAUUUUCUAUGUGAAGAGAAACACGCAAUCCAAACCUCAAAUGAUAUAAGUGAAGCACAUGAAGCAUUCUAUAAAGCCACACUCAAAAGAUAUAAGUGAAGUGCAAUGAGCAUUCUAUAAAUCAACCAAGGACUAUCUCAUACCAGCAUGGUGCAUAAAAGAAAAGUGAAAACUAAAUGCAAAAGACGCUCCAAGACUUGCACAUAAUGCAUAAACGAAACGAAUACGAAAACAUACCGAUACUUGUUGAAGAAAGAGGGGAUGCCUUCCGGGGCAUCCCCAAUCUUAGACGCUCGAGUCUCCUUGAAUAUUUACUUGGGGUGCCUCGGGCAUCCCCAAGCUUGAGCUCUUGCCUCUCUUCCUUUUCCUUAUAUCGAAACCUCCUCGUUUAGACACUUCAUCCACACAAAACUUCAACAGAACUCGGUAAGAUCCGUUAGUAUAAUAAAGCAAAUCACCACUCUAAGUACUGUUGCAAACCAAUUCAUAUUUUGUUUUUGCAUUGUGUCUACUGUAAUAUAACUUUUUCAUGGCUUAAUCCACUGAUAUAAAUUGAUAGAUUCAUCAAAACAAGCAAACUAUGCAUCAAAAACAGAAUCUGUCAAAAAUAGAACAGUCUGUAGCAAUCUGAACAUUCACCAUAUUUAUGGUACACUAAAAAUUGUACCAAAAUUAGUAAAAAUAAACAAGUUGUAUAUAAAGAUAGUGCAAAAGGAAUCAGAACCAUUUGACGUUCCGGAUAAAAAUGUAAAAUCGCACACUACAGACAAAGUUUCUGUCCUGCACCGUACAAACCAACAAGCAUUGUAAACAUCCUAAAGGCAAACCUUGCACAUUAUUUUUAUAAAACAAUGGAAUUAUACAAGGGGAUAAUUAUUUUUGUUGAAAAGUUUCUGUAAUCAAGAUUCACAAAGUUUCCGUGAGCAUGAACAAAGUUCAAGGCUAGCUCCCACUUAAACAAUGCUUGUCUUUGUUACUUUCACUUUCCUUUUUGAAAAGUUUUUUAGGUUCCCCUCUUUAUUUAUUUUUUUGUUUUUAAACUAUAUAAAAGCACUCAACAGAAAUAAAUGACUCUCUAAAACUUCCAGGUUGUCUCCCUGACAGCGCUUUCUUUAAAGCCAUUAAGCUAGGCAUUUAGUGCUCAAGUAAUGAAUCCACCCGGAUCCGAAGGUAUAUCAAAGCCAAUUUUAAUUAACAGUGAUUUGUAAUUUAGUAGUGAGAACAAAGUAACAUAUAUAAUGCAACAACAAAGUCUAACUCUCUUCCUAUGCAUCGACAUGUCAUAAAAGAACAAUUCAUGCACACCAAGUAAAGGCCAAUGCAUAGUAUAAGCAGUUUCUUGCAAUUCCAUCGUAUUGGAAACAUAGAGAGGUGGAGAUGUAGUUCCUCUCUCAUAAUAAUUACAAGUAGGAGAAGCAAGCACAUGCAUAUUAUAUUCAUCAAAAUCAUCAUGUGCAAAGGUAAAAGGCAACCCACCAAUAUAAUCCUUAAUAAGCACAAACUUCUCUGAUAAAGUGUAGUUGGGAGAAUUCAAAAAGAUAAUAGGAUUAUCAUGCGUGGGUGCAAUAGAAACAAAUUCAUGUUUAACAUAAGGAACUAUAGAAAGUUCAUCUCCAUAAGCAUACUUCAUAUUGGCAUCUUGGCCACAAGCAUAGCAAGCAUCAUCAAAAAGGGAUAUUUCAAGAGAAUCAACGGGAUCAUAUCAAUCAUCCUUCGGUAAGCACGAAGGGGAAUUAAACAAUGUAUGAGUGGAAGAGUUACUCUCAUUAGAAGGUGGGCACGGGUAGCUAAUCCGCUCUUCCUCCUUUUGUUCUUCGCUCUCCUCAUCCUCUUUUUCAUCCAAUGAGCUCACAGUUUCAUCAAUUUCUUCUUCCAUAGCUUCCUGCAAAAUACUAGUCUCUUCUUGGACAGCGGAGACUUUCUUCAUAAAAGCAUUAAUAUAGUAAUUGUAUUCAUAAUUUUUAUAGCAAUAUCUAAGUAUAGCAAGAUUUUCAGGCCUAUAAACUGAAUCAUCAAAAUCGUCAAAUGCUUUAAACAUAGAUUCAAUCUCAUAAGCACCCAUAAAAGCAAUAAAUUAUUCUAUUUGUUCAACAUCAUAGUAAUCAUAUAUACCAUUAGCAUAAGAAGCUAAGGUUUCAUUAUCAUUAAAUUUGCAUGAAAAGGGAAGGUGUGGAGCCUUCAUCCUAGAGCAACAAGUAAUAUCAUAGCUCAAGCAUAGAUCCCAGGCAUACCAACGCAACAUAAGAAAUUGAUCCCAUAAUAGUUUCCCAUUUUGUGUCGAGCGAUAAUCCCUAAAGUAUUCACGUUGAUCCAACGUGUCUCCCAUUAUAAAGUUGAAUGGGGUUUUCUCAGGAUUACCAAAAUAGUACAUAAUAUCUUUCACAUAAUGAGAAUCGGGGGUUUUAGGAGUUACCCCAUCUACAUGAGUAGCAAGUACAUCUUUUUUUUUUGGUAUUUUGUGUUCCAUAUCCAUAAUUAAAGAUAGAGAACAACUAAGAACAGCAAAUAAAAAUUACUUAGUGAUAAAGCAAACAAGCACACACGAGAAUAUUCACCCCACGCUAUGACUCCCCGGCAACGGCCUCAGGAAAAGGUCUUGAUAACCCACAAGUGCAGGGGAUCGCAACAGUUUUUGAUAAGCAAGAGUGUCGAACCCAACGAGGAGCUAAAGGUAGAACAAAUAUUCCCUCAAGUUCUAUCGACCACCGAUACAACUCUACGCACGCUUGACGUUUGCUUUACCUAGAACAAGUAUGAAACUAGAAGUACUUUAUAGGAGUGAUAGGAAAGGUUUGCAAGAUAAUAAAGAACACAUAAAUAAAAGCUAGGGGCUAUUUUAAAUAAAGAUACAAUAAUGUAAAUAUAGCGAGUGUGGAAAAGUGGUGGUAGGAGUUGUGGAAUUGUCCCUAAGCAAUUGACUAUAUUACUAGACCGGUAAUCACUAUUGCAAUUCUAUUUGAGGGAGAGGCAUAAGCUAACAUACUUUCUCUUCUUGGAUAAUAUGCACUUAUGAUUGGAACUCUAGCAAGCAUCCGCAACUACUAAAGAUCAUUAAGGUAAAACCCAACCAUAACAUUAAAGUAUCAAGUCCCUUUUAUCCCAUACGCAACAAUCCCCUUACUCGGGUUUGUGUUUCAGUCACUCGCGCAACCCACUAUAAGCGAAUCAUGAACGCAUUACAACACCUUACAGCAGGAAUCCCUCACGCUUGCGCGACACAGAGGGCACCAUAGGACAACACCAAUAAUAAAACAUGCAACUCAAACCAAUCAUACCAAUUCAUCAAUCACCGAUAGGACAACGAAAAUCUACUCAGACAUCAUAGGAUGGCAACACAUCAUUGGAUAAUAAUAUGAAGCAUAAAGCACCAUGUUCAAGUAGAGGGUACAGCGGGAUGCGGGAGAGUGGACCGCUGAAUAUAGAAGGAGAAAGGUGAUGGAGAUGUUGGUGAAGAUGACGGCGGUGUUGGUGAAGAUCGCGGUGAUGAUGAUGGCCCCCGGCAGCGCUCCGGCGCCACCGGAAGCAAGGGGGAGAGAGGGCCCCUUAUUCUUCUUCUUCUUCCUUGACCUCCUCCCUAGAUGGGAGAAGGGUUUCCCCUCUGGUCCUUGGCUCCCAUGGCUUGGGAGGGGCGAGAGCCCCUCCGAGAUUGGAUCUAUCUCUCUGUUUCUGCGUUCUCUGAUUCUGCCCCUUCACUGUUUCCUUUAUAUCUGGAGAUCCGUAACUCCGGUUGGGGUGAAUCUUUCGCCCAGAUUUUUCUCAUAAAAUUAGCUUUCUUGCGGCAAAAGAAGAGCGUCAACCGCCUUACGGGUGGCCCAUGAGAGUCCAGGGCGCGCCCAGGGGGGAGGACGCGCCCCCUGUCUCGUGGCCACCCAGGACACCGUUUCGCGUUGAUUCUUCCUCUGGAAAAUUCCAAAUAUUCUAAAAUAAUUCUUCGUCCGUUUUUAUCAUGUUUGGAUUCCAUUUGAUAUUGGGUUUCUGCGAAACAUAAAACAUGCAACAGAUAGGAACUAACACUGGGCACUGGAUCAAUAUGUUAGUCCCAAAAAUAGUAUAAAAUGUUGCCAAAAGUAUAUGAAAGUUGAAGAAUAUUGACAUGGAACAAUCAAAAAUUAUAGAUACGACGGAGACGUAUCAGUAACACCUACUGGUUCGAUAAACCUUGGUUCUUAAUUGAGGGAAAUACUUCCUGCUGCUAUGCCACAUCACCUUUCCUCUUCACAGAAUCCAACAACUCCUACAAGAGUAGCAGUCAUCAUGCUAGUGUGGCAAAUAUGGCAACCGAGGAAUGAUGUUGCAAAGGAGACCCCCACCCGGUUAGUACUUCGGUCGAAUCCUUACGUAGCUACCAACAAUUUAUCGACAAUGCUCACAAGUUUUUGACAAAGGAGAUCAUGAAAGGGAGGAUGCCGCUGGAAGUGAUGUAGGUGCAGCCGAUUUAAGGAGUACCCACUGACCAUGGCCUGACUACCCCCAGUCGGACAUGUGGCGUUGCACGUCGACGACACUUUUUCUAAGGCGUACGACACGGCGGUAGCAGGUAUGACAAUGCAUGGUCAUGGUGGCCUAGUCAUGUUUGCAACAUAUAGAUUCAUGUUGAACCAUGGAGAUGCUCCGAAGGCAGAAAUUCGCGCAACAAUGCAAGGUGGCACUUCCAUACAAACCCAUUGAGCUUUCAGUCGUUGUGCAAUCUGACUCGUCCAUGUCCCUUUCCAUCUUCUUCGGUGAUUCUUUGGACCGCUCGAUGUAUGGAGAGUUUAUUUCGCUUAAACUUAUUCGUAGUGAGAACAGAGUUGCAUAUACGUGGGCAAGAUAUAGCUGUACUCAACGUAGCACCGCCGUUUGACAUGUACUCCCUACGUAAUGUCUAGAAACAUCCGUAUAUAGAUAAAUCAAAACUUUUUUUUAGGACGGAGGUAAUAUUAAGGAAAUCUUCUCUAGUUUGUAACUCUACACAUUCGGAAUAUAACUCUAGUUUACCUCCCACCCCAAAACCUGACAAUGUUACAUGGAGAGGGGUGGCAAGCGAACCCUCUUUGAUGACAUUUUUAGUUAUGAGAAGAGAUAAAACGAUGGCAGGUUUUUAAACGAAAAUGGCCUUCUCAGAAAGAAACUAACAUAUCUUCUCGAGGAAAACGUCACCACUCAACCACUUUCUCAUAACUAAAACUGCCACAAAAUCAUUUGUAUAUGUCACCCUCUAGCAAAUGUUCUCCGGUUAACAGGGUAAAAAAAAGUUCCUGUUCUAUACGAUCACAAUAUGCGAGCCUACACCCACCAACGGACUAUGUUCUUCCGUCAUGACAGCUGACUAUUUAGUCUCAAACGCAAGAAAACUUUCGCAACGCGACCAUGUUUUUCUUAAGCCGAGCAAGGAGACAAUAUUUUUUAGGGGAGCAACGAGACAAUGAACACGUCUCGCUAUAAAUUGGGCCAAAAGCCCAAUAUACCACCCGAGCCUAUCACACAAAGUAGAAAGAUGAAGCCUCAACCGAAGCCAGGCCCAGCCCAUAGCCCGCCCCCUCUCGGCCGCACCAAAGCAAAACCCUAGAAGCCUACAUCCAACGGCCCGAACCACCCAAUCCCCCAUCCGACGGUCGACGCCCCACGCGCCAGCCUUAUAAGUCCUUCCAUUCCCCCCCGCAAGGGUUCCCUCCCACACACCUCCGCCUCCACCCCAUCCUCCCCGACCCCUCUCCCCCCAGGUAAGCCCGCGGCGGCGGCGAGCGAGCGGCGGCUAUGACGACCCGCCUCAAGAAGAACCGCAAGAAGCGCGGCCACGUGUCCGCCGGGCACGGGCGUGUGGGCAAGCACCGCAAGCAUCCUGGAGGCCGCGGUAACGCCGGAGGCAUGCACCACCACCGCAUCCUCUUCGACAAGUACCAUCCCGGCUACUUCGGCAAGGUCGGUAUGCGCUACUUCCACAAGCUCAGCAACAGGUUCUACACUCCGACGAUCAACGUCGAGAGGCUCUGGUCCAUGGUACCGGCCGAGAAGGCGGCAGAGGCCGGCGGUGACAAGGCCCCCGUGGUCGACGUCUCGCAGUUCGGCUACUUCAAGGUGCUCGGCAAGGGGAUGCUGCCGGAGAAGCCCAUCGUCGUCAAGGCCAAGCUCAUCUCCAAGAUCGCCGAGAAGAAGAUCAAGGCCGCCGGCGGCGCUGUCGUGCUCGUUGCCUAGGGUUCUGUUCGCGACUGUGCCUUGAGAUCUAUUAUAUCUUUACUAUUAGUUGUUUCCCGUACCAGCAAUUUGUGUUGAACAAGACAUCGUUAGUUUGUUAUCCUUGUUCCUGUGUGGUAAACCAACAUCUUAUGAGAAUUUUGCGAUAUGUUAUGCCAGUUUAUAUCAGACGAGUUAUCCAUAUCUGUGCUCCUAUUUAUGCUUCGUUUGAUCUGUGUUAAUUGUUAUCGAUCCCUAAUGCAUGUACUUUUAUUUGCCAUGGUAACUAUAUGAUUCUAUGCCUGCUAGUCAUGGUAACUAUAUGAUUCUAUGCCUGGUAGUCAUGGUAACUGUAUGUGUCUAUGCCUGCUAAUCAUGAUAACUGUAUGAUUCUAUGCCUGCUAAUUAUGUGACAUGUGAACUGUAUGAUUUUUGUUUGCACUCUGGUAUGCUUUGUUUUCUUUGUUAAUCUUUACUUGUCAUAGUGUAUUGCUUCAGGAUUCUAUUUCUUGUAGUCAUAGUGAUUUGCUUGCUUAAUGCUCGAUGACAUUGAAGUUGAUGUCUGGAAGAGGUUUGUAGCCAUACUAAUGGUUAACAUGAGGUAGUAGUUUUAUCUUUGGAAUCCCUAGCAGGUACUAAAGUUUUGGAUUGCAUCUUCCUUCUAAAUUUACUUGACUAGUUUAGUGUCACCUCUUGAGUUAAAUAAGAACCUGGAGUAAGCUAUUGUGCUGUUAUUGUUGUGCCAUUGUGUGAAGUAUUGGUAUCCAUUUGCAUCUUCGCAGAAAUGGCGACAUGUUCUUUGAGAAAUCUUCCUCUGAAGCAUUCUGUCUGUUUUGUAUUUGCUAGAACAAGGAUGUUAUUCUUUUUGGGUGUUCGAUUUGUUUUGCUUGCUGUGGCACCUUUUUUUUUGCUUGCUGUGGCACCUGACGCAUAGCAGUUGUUUUAUCAGUCAAGCUUUGUUUUAUAGUCAAGCAUUUGUUACUGUAUUUCCCAGAGUACAUUAGUACAUUAGUACAUUUGUUACGUGUGUGUGAUCAUGUUUGCUUGUCUGUACAUAGCUGCAAUUGCCUGAUCGAUAGAGCGCCUUAGGGUUCAAAGGAUUUUAUAGCAAUUUUUGCUAUGUACUACCUCUGUACCGAAAUACUGUAGUUGAGGAUUUGCUCAUUUGCCGCUCCCGUAAUUUGUUUGCCCACGCACGUCGCCUGAAUCUGUUGUGCACAACUGACUCCCGUGCCCUCUAGGUAUUCCACCACUGCCAGCCGGGGUUGCCAUCGGAGGCACUCAAACAUCCAACAGUAUCAGUUGAUUGACAAACUGACUCGAUGGGUCAUUUCUCCCGCCGGUUGCCAUCGGUUCGAAAGGAACAUUGGCGCCGUGACACGAGACGGUGAGUAGAACAAACGCAUCAGCUGUUGGUCCGUGCCGCCAAUGCCUGCUUUGCCGGCUGGGCAAGCGAUCCCUCGUCCACACGCACAAGGAACCCUCUGUUUGACAUGCGUGCGGCCCGUCGUAUGCGGCCCUCCGUGACAUGGAUGAAGUGGCACGUUUAAGCACGAGGCACCCUCACGUUGAUGCAUAUCACUUCCGUGGUACGUGGACAGAAGGAACAUAUCUCACGGUUGUUGGGUGGAGGAAUUCACAAUUUAUCUGUACAACGAUGAUAUCUUAGAAGACCUAUGUAGUAUAAAUUGCUGAGCUUAACGAAAGAUAAUAAACUAUAAGAAAAAAGUUGUAUUUUUCUUAAUUAGGAUAUGAUCUCUUAGCAAUAAUAUUUGUCACCACUGACCACAUAUUUAGAAAUAUUUAGUUUAUCAAAGAAAAGACUGAUGCCAUGCAACUUUCUAUUUUUUUUCCUUGAUUACAUGAUGGGUUUAAGAUAAGACUAUCUUACUUGCCUUCAUAAAAAACGUUGAAAAUAACAUUUAAAUACUCCGAUGAACAGACACACCUUCAUGCGCCCUCCACGAGCCGAUGGAACAUGGAUAGGAUGAGCAUGCCAUUAUUUCUAAACCCGGCAACAUCGUCGCCUCGCGGCCUCGACUAACACACAGAGAAUUCUAAAACCAGGCUAAAUUAAAACCAAGACGCCUAUGCUGCUGUACGCCAAAUAUGAGCCAGAGGUCGAGCCAAACCACCAUCUAGGACCCUAUAUGCCGUCGGUGCAGGUAGCAUCGCCUGUAAGCGUCCCUGGUUGAGAAUUGCCGCUGCUCGAACACACAUCAACGACUGCCGCUAGCCCCGGCAUGAACUCAAUGUGGACACUUGACAGAUCAUCCCGGCAUCGUAGACGCCACAUGGGUUUUGCUCGAUGACAGACUUUGGCAGCAACGGGAGCGUAACGCUGGUGGCAGCUAGGGCUUCAGAGUUUGUCGCGAGAUAUAAGGACGAGUGAAUCAGGUUAGGUAAUUACGUUAGGCAGAACCCCGAAGUAAGAGGAAAUGAAUAUGACUUUGAACUACAAAUUUCACAUACUUAUGAACAUUAGCUGUCUAAUAUAGUACCAUGUCUAAUGACGGUGUACCUCAUUCCGAUGGGCAGGGAUGUAGGUUUGUGUAAAAACCGUAAAAAAAAAAAUAUAU
rnacentral:lncRNA from 1 species